UCUGCACAAAAUCAAGCAAGAUAAAUAAAUACUGCAGUGCAGUGACUCAAGAAAUCUUAUCCAUAGGACACUAGGAUUAAAUAAUGUGAAGCACUUAAACUUGGGGGGAAAAAACAAACAAAAGAACAGUUUAAGAACUUCUGACUUCGACUGUAUUCCUUGAAUUUUUGAAAUAAUGUGAAACUAAAGUGAAAAUUUAAAUUCAAUUUUACAUCCCAAACCACAAUGCAUCUCAACCAAAAGCAAAGGUACUUUGACUGUGCUGUGAUACGUUUGCUGGCAGCCUUCAGAACUGUGACAGAGCUAGCAGAAACACACUAUGCUACAAGAUCUGUAAAAUAUGAAUGUGAGAUGUUGCAAUUGGAAUUACAUGUAGUGGUGGGUGCUAAGGAAGUAUUUAAGCCAAUUAGAUUGGAACAUGCACUGUGUGUAAGUCCCACCCACUACCACCAGCUCUAAAGAGCUGCAGAAGGAGUCCCUGGCAGUAGCAGCAGCAAAUGCACACGACUGCUAAUUAAAGCUUAAAUGGUUUCGCUGGUACUGUCAUGAAAGUCCAUGCUCAUGUUCCCACGCCAAGGCAGAAGGCAGCUUUGCAGGCUGCAGCUUUAUUGCCCUGCCAUUUUGGCUGGGGUGCAUAAACACUGACUUCACCUGCAGGGAAUGCUGCAGAAACAAGCCAUGGCCUUCUCCUUGUUGGGCUCCUGAUAUCCUGGCAUGUAAAGUGGGCUUGAAAAAAUCCUAACAGUGAAUGUACUGGCCUUAAAAUACCCAUAUGGUCUCAGAGAUGUGCAAGACCACUUGAAUGUAACUGACACCAAAAGCAGCAGCUGUUUUUUCUGAAUUAAACUAAAUGAAUAUUUGUCUUUAUUUUGGAAAUACCCAAAAGACAUCAGCUCUUUUUAAGAGCUGCUCCAGCCUGCAUCUAAAUGCCUGUUUUAGAAACUUGUUUCCCUGCCAUUUAAGUAAAGGGAAUAUUUAAGUCAACUCUUUGUAAAGAAAUUUGGCAAAUACGGAGAAAAGUUUAGUGGGAAAUUUUUGGAAGAAUAGAAUCCUUUCAAUAAAGCUUGUAGGGUUUUGCUAUGACUUAUAGCUGUUCUUACAUAACUGGAGAGACUAUCAGAGUCAAUGCUGCUAAAUAUCUUAUCUGUUAUCUCUAGAACACAACAAGCAAUUUCCCCAAAGAAGUUUAGGAGCCUAGCAUAAAGCAUUUUACAUGGGUUUAAUUUAGAUUUAACUUUCUCUUGAUUUUCUAGUCUACUCCAAGGAAAUUGCCAUUUACAGUCCUUUCCAAUUACCCUAAAUUACAGAGCUAGGUUACGGCUACUGCUGUGGGUGCCCCUGCAGUAAAAACAUGACUAAGUCUUGGGCACUCAGUCAAAUGCUGUAAUCCCAGCCCCGAACAGCGCUGCACAAGCUGGAAGAGGCAGAGGCCCUGUGCCAGGGGAAUGCAAAGCUGUUAUGGUCAUUUAUACACUUGGGUUGGCUGCACUGGGGAGUGCAAAUCUUCAGGCUGUUCGUGAAUUCAACCCGUCUGCGUGACCCUGUUUGCUACUGGCCACUGCUGCUUAGAAACCAGCCCCCUGCUCACUCCAGAGUGCUGUGCUGCUACUGAGUGUUUUCUAUAUUCAUCUGCAAGUUUAGAAGUGCCAGAAUAUGCAGCUGGGCUUAAGAACUUCCCUGGAGAAGGACACUGGGGCUAUUUGGAGGCAGCCAUGCAGAAAUGCUGUGCUGGCCUUUGCAGGAGACGCAGUCUGGGUAACUUUACUACCAUGGAAACAUGUCUGCAGAGGGAGAAAGGAGUCUUUCAUUGACAUCAAAUGCCUCUUCCUCCAUCCACUCUCAGCUUUGAAAGAAAAUGUUUGGCCUUUCAGCUUGGGCAAAAGUAGACCAUGAGUCUGUUGCAGAAGACUCAGUGCCCUAAAUGUCUGAGGGGGUUAUCUCAAAGUCAGACUUGGUGUUCCCCCUGGACUUGCCCUGCUGUAGAGGAAUCCCAUUGAAAAGGGAGGACUGCAGAACACGAUUUACCCAUUGUAAACAAUCAAUGAUUUUUGGGUUUUGUAUUGGUUGGUUGUGGCUUUUUUCACUUUACUUCUAAUAGAUCCCCUGUUAGGUCAGGCAGAAGUUUUAAACAGUCCUUAACUUGGACGUGCAUGUUUUCAUACUUCAGUGUAAAUCCUUAAAAAGUUUGUAUCAAGUCAGAGCUAAGUAUGAAGGGCCACUGUAAGGAACGUUAAAGGAAAUUUGGAACAGAGACUCUCUUAAGAGAAAAUGGACUCUGGAAGAAAGUUCCCUUAGGAUCACACUCAUAGGUAGAAAGCUCAUAUAUCUGCUACCAGGAACUAUCUCACAGUCCAAAACAUUACAACUUAACCCAGCUCCUUUGGAGAAAAGAUAAAUUCGGUUGUACUUGACAAGGAAGUCCCUUUAUUAGACAUCCUUAUUGAAUUCUCAGAGAUUAAAGCUGUUUAUGGAGAGGUAAGUAGCAGAAGGGACAGGCCUUUACUGGUACUUUAGCCACCACUAAUAAAAAAACAAAUGUAAAAAAGAAAACAAAAGAACUCCCAAGUCCUACAAUGUCUUGGGAAAAACUUCUCUUUAAAUAUCAAUGCAAAGCUCCUGUAUCAAGCAUAGAGUCUAGCAGCCAGCUGGAAUGUGCCAUAUGCUGUCUCCAGUAGCUAAAACAUUCAUUUACUCUACCUGCAGUCACUUGAUUUAAGAGCAUCAUGUUUUCCUUCCUGGAUUGUAUUUCCAUGAUGAUCUGAAACUGUCAGCUGAUAAUUAAAAAAAAUGUGGCCCUGAAUGGAGCACUUGCAAGUGAAAAGCCAAAACCUGUGCUGCCACUGUAAAGCCACAUCCCCUAAUGUGUAUCUUAUAUACAUAGUGACAUUAAAACCGUUAAAGCUUACUUUCAAAAUUUAUGAAAAAUAAUAUAUAAGAAGCCAGGAUGUUUGCAAUAUCAGCACCAGGCCAACAAGAACACGAUGGCCUUGGUCCAACAAAGACCUUUACAGUGACUCAGAGGCAGAGUUCUACCUUGGCACCAGCAGCAGGAGACAAUCUCACCCAGAACAGGAUUUCUGCCAGUGGAAUUGCUGAACUUUUGAGGCUACUGGUAUGAUUUCUGCUCAGCAUUGCUUAUCUCUUUUCAAAAAUGCACCUAGCAUUAUUGCCCUCCUGGACACAUUUCCAGAUGAGCUUCAUGGAGCUGCUCCAGCAUUUCUGUGCCUCUCAUUUUUGUAUCACAUGAUUAUUAGAUUUGGUCAGUAACCUCCCUGAGAUGGCAGUGAUGCUGGGAUGUCUAAUUAAUAGGUCUGGGUGAAUUUUAAGGAAUAGGUUAAAUGCCUGUUCUUCAACUCCAUAAAGACUGUGGUGUUUCCCAGUGGGGCAGGACUUGAGCCUCUCUGGACCUCUGUGAAUCAUCAAUGCACAGCAUGGGGCUCCAUGAAGUUUCAGUGUCUGCAGGAGAAGACAGCAGCUCAGAGCAGGUUUUGGCAGAGCAGUUUUUGGCAGUUUCUGCCCUCUGUACCCAUGUACUUCACAUGUACCUAGCAAGUCUUCAUGUCUCACCCCAUGCACCCUAACAGGAAUCAAUCCAUAGAGGAUUUUAAACCUAUUUUAAACCUAUUAUAAGCAGCUGAGCUGUUUGCUGCUUUUUUUCAUUAGACGUAUUGGGCUCCUGGGUCAGUACAGACUGGAUACUUUUAUUCCACAGGGAAAUAAUUAACAACUAAAAUUAAAUUUUGACUGAGCCCUGUCAAAAUAAAAAUAUUAAACUCACAAGAAUUAAAACAGCUUGAAAUCUUGCCUGUUGAAAAUUAGAAGAUUACAACAGGUACUGGUAGUACACUAACCACGGAAGCCCCAUCACAUUUCUUUAGUUUUCUAAGAAUCUUUUUCUUUGCUUGUGUACUGCUGUGCAAAAGCUACCUUUAGAGCAAAACUGGUGCAAGUAAGUUACUGUGCAAUGGGUGACCACAGAAAAUUAUUAUGCAAAAAUGCUUCUGCGUUGUACUUCCAGUUAUAAGCCUUGAUUGUCAGUUGCUGAAGAUGGUGACCUCAGUUCUAGUUUUAUGCCUGGAUUCACAAGCCAAAUGAUUUUUGAGACCUACUUAGCAGCUGACUUCCUACUGGAGCCUGCAAAACCCUUUGGAAGUUUGAUGCUUAGUUUGUGUGGCCCCAUAUCAGGUGUCACUCUAGACUAUGUGAAUGAGAAGGGUUUGAAGCAGACUUCAGAGUUCUAGUCAGCAGUGAGGAGUUGUCUAGAGGUCAUCUAUACUGCCAGAAAAGGGGUAAAAAUUUGGGACAGGAUUUUGCUGUCAUUCCCCGCACAUUCACUGAGGUCAUCAAAUUCUUCAGAACAUUGUUUUCACUUCCUUUACAGAGUUUUCACUCCUUCUGCAUUCCACAGAUGAAGUACAAGCACCUUGAAGGAACGUCCAGGUGCCAACCAGGUGGAGUUCCCAGUGUGCCCUGGAUGUUUUGGGCUGUGAACAGACUACAACUAGAAUAUGUGGACCUGAGACUUUUUUUUUUUUUUUUCCGCUGAUUCUAGAGCAUUCACAAAAAAGACUAAAAUGAAGAAUCCCUCUCUUCAUGGGUAAUUUUAAUUUGAAAUCAAAGUGCAGCAGAAAAUGUGUGAAUAAAAAAAUCUCAUAAGGUUUUCA